CCUACGGGAGGCAGCAGUGAGGAAUUUUGCGCAAUGGGGGAAACCCUGACGCAGCAACGCCGCGUGGGUGAAGAAGGCUUUCGGGUCGUAAAGCCCUGUCAGGUGGGAAGAACCGUUUCGAUACUAAUAAUGUCGAAGCCUGACGGUACCACCAGAGGAAGCACCGGCCAACUCCGUGCCAGCAGCCGCGGUAAU
rnacentral:rRNA from 1 species